UCUCGAUUGGUCUAGUGGUCAGGAUACCUGCUUGUCAUUCUAUGGCUUAGAAACAAUGCGCAGGUGGCCGGGGUUCGAUUCCCCGAUCGAGAG